CCUUGUACACACCGCCCGUCACGCCAUGGAAGCUGGGGGGACCUAAAGUCGGUGGGCUAACCGCAAGGAGGCAGCCGCCAAAGGUCAAUUCAGUGACUGGGGCA
rnacentral:rRNA from 1 species